rnacentral:lncRNA from 1 species
CAGAGACACAGGAGUGAUUUGCUGUUUCUUUUUCCAGGUCAUCUUAUAAAUGAGGAAACUGAGGUCCAGCACUCCAUCCACUGCAAUACCUAGCUGCCCAAGGAGAAUCUCCCUGAUAAGGAUAACUUUAAAAAUCUGUGCUACAUUUUUCCUAACAGCUUCUUCUCUGGGAUCCAUUGUUUUCAUUUAACUGAAAAUAAGAGAGAUUUUGCUUGGAUUCCCUUUUCCUGAAGAGGAGUGGAGGCUGCUUCUGGACAGAAAUGGCUGUUCCAUUUGCCCAGGACCCCAGUUCUACAAGAGAGAAUGUGAAAAGAGGAAGGAAAAAGGAAGAUGUGGAGAGGAAUGAUAAAUCCAAGCUGUUAAAUUGAGACAGAAUUAUAUUGCAUUUAUACUGAAGAGCUUGACCACUUAGAAAUGGAUACUUUGCCUGGAUAUAAUCCUGCCUGGCUAAAUCCCCAAGGAUAAAGGUGACUAAGAUUUGCUGCAAGUGGAGCCGGUGACUGAAGCUUUAUAAUGAUUUUCCAGGACAUGACUGUCAAUAGCUUUACCUAAAUAGACAUUUUAGUAAGCACACUGAAAACAUUUGUAGCUUUUUAUUGUGAAGGUUCUGGUCACAAAACAGUGCAUACAACUCAAGUGGCAGCCAGCUUAUCCUCCACCUGCAAGAAAGUACAAAAAUGUGAGGUCAUCAAAGUGAAUACAGGAUUUGUUAUUUCCACACCUGAUAGGACACAUUGCUAAUAUUUUAUUUCACAAGGGAAUUCUGAUUUGAAACCUUGGGUACUUAUUGUGCACAUUUAAUUGUCAUU